GACCUCGGAUCAGGUAGGGAUACCCGCUGAACUUAAGCAUU
rnacentral:rRNA from 1 species